rnacentral:rRNA from 1 species
CCUACGGGUGGCAGCAGUAGGGAAUCUUUCACAAUGGGCGAAAGCCUGAUGGAGCAACGCCGCGUGCAGGAUGAAGACCUUCGGGUUGUAAACUGCUUUUAUAAGCGAGAAAUAUGAUGGUAACUUAUGAAUAAGGAUCGGCUAACUACGUGCCAGCAGCCGCGGUCAUACGUAGGAUCCGAGCAUUAUCCGGAGUGACUGGGUGUAAAGAGUUGCGUAGGUGGCAUAAUAAGUAGCUAGUGAAAUCUGGUGGCUCAACCAUUCAGACUAUUAGCUAAACUGUUAAGCUCGAGACCGUUAGGGGUAACUGGAAUUUCUAGUGUAGGAGUGAAAUCCGUAGAUAUUAGAAGGAACACCAAUAGCGUAGGCAGGUUGCUGGGACGGUUCUGACACUAAGGCACGAAAGCGUAGGGAGCAAACGGGAUUUGAUACCCCAGUAGUC